rnacentral:rRNA from 1 species
AUUGAACGCUGGCGGCAUGCUUUACACAUGCAAGUCGAACGGUAACAGGCCGCCAGGUGCUGACGAGUGGCGAACGGGUGAGUAAUGCAUCGGAACGUGCCCAGUCGUGGGGGAUAACUACUCGAAAGAGUAGCUAAUACUGCAUACGAUCUAUGGAUGAAAGCGGGGGACCGUAAGGCCUCGCGCGAUUUGAGCGGCCGAUGUCAGAUUAGGUAGUUGGUGGGGUAAAGGCUCACCAAGCCAACGAUCUGUAGCUGGUCUGAGAGGACGACCAGCCACACUGGGACUGAGACACGGCCCAGACUCCUACGGGAGGCAGCAGUGGGGAAUUUUGGACAAUGGGCGCAAGCCUGAUCCAGCAAUGCCGCGUGCAGGAAGAAGGCCUUCGGGUUGUAAACUGCUUUUGUACGGAACGAAACGGCUCUGGUUAAUACCCGGGGCUAAUGACGGUACCGUAAGAAUAAGCACCGGCUAACUACGUG